AUUGGAAACAUGGCUUUUCCAUACAUUUCGGACUUUUUUGGUCUCUACCCAUGUUUUUCUGCGUCGAUGGAGUGCGCUACGACGCCCAUCUUGAAUCCAAUAUUCACAGGCACAGAUAUCAAUACAGUGCAAAGAAGUAAUUGAUGCGUCUCAAGAUUUUUGAGCGCCACACUCGUGAGGUGGAGUAGUUCAGCAAAGAGGGCCACAUAUUGCUCCGGCGUGGCAUCAAGGAGAUGUCGAACUGGGCAGAUGCUGAGGUUGCCGCGCUCAAAGGUUCUCAGUCGCUGAUGCUGAAGGGCUUUCGGUAGUUUCUGUCGCUGCAGCGGUCCUACCUUCGCGCCUCUCACCCCCUUCCACAUCAAAUGGACUGUGGCUUCCAUAUGCCUCCCGUUCUGGCCGCGGUGAAGAAUUAGGGACACUGCGGCAGCUGUUGGGUAUAUUUGGCGGUAGAAGCGAUGGGGUCUCAGUGGAGCAUCGCGACGGGUAAGCUGCACAUGCUUACCCAGCAGCAGAUGACGGUGUGCCCGCCGAACACGUGCCACUGCGGCGGCGUAGGGGCCUUCUGGGGCGUCACUGAAUCUCUGACCUACCAAUAUGUGCCGCAUGCGCGUGACAUCAGUGAGGAGUGGGCGUAUCUAUAAUCGGCAUUUCACGGUAAGACAGGUGCGUGCCAAAGCUUAAGCGCGAUAAAAAGUGGCCAGGGUGUCGCUCUGCGUCCAGUUAUCAGCCAAGAGGCUUUGAUGGAUGCCGUUGCGUUCAAGAGGCCUAUCAACGUCAGUGUGGAUGCUUCGAUGUUGCCAAGCCACACUGAAGGCUUUUUCAACGACAGCGACUGCUCCGAGAAAAUCACGCAACAUCACUCCUGCAGUUUGGUGUGCACGGGCACGACUACCAGCCUGGUAAGGAUGACUGGAUUACUCGAAGUUCUGCGGGAUAAUGGUGAGAUGAGGACGGCUGCAUGCGCCUUCUCCCUGAAAGGGAGCCGCACUGCGGGUGGUCGGUACACGCGUUUUCUGGCGCCGCGUGCAACGGCGACCAUGACCAGGAGUGGACCUGCGGUAUGUGAGGUAUGAUCUCCAGCUCCACAUACACUGUGCUCGACGGUGCUUCAACUGAGUUUUGCUCACUCCUAUUUCGGGCGCCCUUUUGCGUUGACGUUCACUGCUUUUCCGCCUUCCUCACUCCUGUAAUGACCCCUAAUGGCGAGGGACACACCCAUCUCGGUGCGUGGUGUCUCAGGGUCCAGUGCCCCCACUCUGUGUGGGGAAGCCACGCAGCCCCCACCUAACCCCUGCCAAUGCCGAACCACCUCUGGUGGUGGCAUGGGCAAGCACCUACGAGCUGGGGGGGUCAGAGCGCUUCAUCGCCACGGAUAUCGGCGGUCGGGUCCUGGACGGCGGUGCGUCAGAGCGGGCUGCGACAGCGCACGCGUCCGUGCCACCCAUGUGAUGGACAGCGUGUCAGCGUGACUCGAGCUAUCCCACGCCGGGCCGUCGCACUGCCUGCUGCUGGGGAGCCUGCGCCAUCGCGAGGGAUGCACCAGGGGUGGCAACCGGCACGAUGGGAGCGACUGUGAGGCGACCUGGGAGGCGGGUGGGCGGGGUAUGAGGCAGCGGCCGUGCUCGCAGAUGACUGAGCCGGCGCACCGCCGUAGCGCGUGUGUACCGCUACUUCGCACCACGCGGGAUGGGCCUGUGGCAGGCCGGGCCGAGUGGAUUGGAGCGCAUGUUGCACGGCAUGGUGGACGCGUUG
rnacentral:misc_RNA from 1 species